rnacentral:lncRNA from 1 species
AAAUCGACACCAAUUUGUCGCAAUCCGUUCAAAAUAGAGAUUUAACUAAUAUGAUACCGGGGGUGGCUCUGUGAGCUUCUUUUUCAAACUAACACCUUAUAACUCCGAAAAUUCUAAAAUAUUCAAUUUUUUUUUCAACCUUUUCGAUUAUUCAAUUCAAUCUUUAUGUGAUAGCUUCACACACUUGCCGGCGACCGGGGU